rnacentral:lncRNA from 1 species
UUGGGAUAAGCAUUGUAACUAGAAGCGAAUCAUGUGUCCAUGACAUCUGGAGAGCUGACGCUCACCCCCAUUUUCAUCUGCCGCCCAGGAAAUAACCACCGUUUCUAAAGUUAUUGCUUUCUCAUUAGCAAUGAGCAGGCUGCUUUAGCUCCUAUGCUCAGUGAGAGAUUUACUUGCAGUUCUCAGGAAGGCACAUGGAUCUCAGUAUCCUCCUUAAGAGAUGCCAAAUACAAAGCCCAAGGAGGAAAAGCAAAAGAGAGCUUUGGAAAUAUUUACCUUCUCCUCCAAUUUGGUAGAUACAAGUAAAUUCUUAAUGGAAAAAGGAAAAAGACUUGUCAAGGAAUGAGAAGAGUUCGUAACAAUAAAACUUGUACCUUGCCUCCUAGGUAAGGAAUCAGACUUGAUGUGCUAGGCGCCCCCCAAACUCUAAUCAGAUUUACAAUCUAGAAGGCUGAUCCCUCCCCCAACAACUGCCUUAGAGACCAGUUAACCUUAAACAGUCAUUUGUCAUGGGAUGUUCAUUUACAACUUCCCUCUACCCCCUACCCCAAAAUAUUACUCGCACUCCUAAGGAGAUGGCCUCUCCCUAACCCUUGAAUAACGAACAAACCUGUGCUGAAAGUAGGAACUACCCCUUUUUCUCUAAAAAUAACUUCUUCCUAAGCGUCAGGGAGUUCUCUCUCAAUGCUUCUGGCCAGCUUGUUGGUCAGUAAAACUUGCUUGAAGUCUCAGUGCUCCGGCCUCCUGCUGCUUCUUUGAUUUUCUGCUCUAACAUUGCCCACAUUAACAAUCAAAGUACUAUGUGUUAUCAGGAAAGGAAAAAAUACAUAAUUCACUGCCACGUUAAUGCUUCCAUUCAGUUCUGGACUUGGCGUGCUGUUGCUGACACAUUUCACGCAGUGGAGAAGACUACAUCCCAUUGACACAAUACCCCAGCCCCUCCUGAGCUCUUUUUAGAGCAGGACCACUACAUAGGGUUCUCUCCAAACAUCUCCCCAGCCUCCACUUGCAAUUGCAAAGGUGGUGUCUGAAAGGUCACACUGCAACCUUUGAAAACUUGACAAUUUUCCUUUUUCCACCCCUUUUAGUGGCACUGACUACAUAGUGCCUUGGCUUUAUUUUACUUGGAUUUCCCCGAAAAGCUCUGCAGACCACUGAAACCACCUAGGAAGUACCAACAGCUUUUAAGAGCACAGUUUUUGGUGUCUGUUCAGACCUUGGUUGGAAUCUCACUUCUGAACUUCUAGCUGAGUUAGUGAAUCAGGAACCUUUCAGGAUAAAAGCACUGGAGUUCCCGACAUGGCUCAGUGGUAAUGAACCCAACUAGUAUCCACGAGGAUACAGGCUCAACCCCUGGCCCCAGUCAGUGGGUCAGGGAUCCUGCAUUGCGUGACUGUGGUGUAGGCUGGCAGCUGCUGCUCCAAUUCGACCCCUAGGCAGGGAAUGUCCAUAUGCUGUAGGUGUAGCCCUAAAAAGACCAAAAACAAACAAACAAACAGACACACACACACACACACACACACACAAAAACAUCCUCGGGGGCUCAAACAGAAUGGAAUUUAAUGCAGAAAAAUGGUCCCACGAAGUCAAGGAAAAGUUGAGAAGCUAAAAGGUGAUAUAUUAGUCAGUUUUUAAUUAGAUGUAACAAUAGCAUAGACUGAGUGGCCUCAAAAACAGAAAUUUAUACAGUGUUCCUGGUGUGGCUCAGCAGGCUAAGGACCCAGUGUUGUCUCUGUGAGGAUGUGGGCUUAAUCUCUGGUCUCACUCAGUGGAUUAGGGAUCUGAUGUUGCCACAAGCUGUGGUGUAGUUCACCAGUGUGCCUCGGAUCUGCUGUUGCCAUGGCUGUGGCAUAGGCCCCUGGCCCGAGAACUUCCAUAUGCCGCAAGUGAGGCCAUAAAAAGAAAAAUAAAUACAAUUAAUUUCAGAAAAAAACAGAAAUUUAUUUCCUACAGUUCUAGAAGCUAGAAGUCCAAGAUCAAGAUGCCAGCCAGUAUAGCCAGAUUCUGGUGAGAGCUCUCUUGCUGGCUUCUUACAGACAGCCACUUUCUCACUGUGUCCUUACAGGGUGUGAGGGUGGGGGUUCAUUUCCUGUCUCUUCUCAUAGGGACUUGUAAUUUUAUCCGAUCCGGGCCCCACUCUUAAGGCCUUAUUUAACCUUAAUUACUUCCAUAAGGGCCUUAUCUUUAAAUACAAUCAUAUAGAGGGAUUAAGGUGUCAGCAGACAACCCAGGAAUCAGCAACAGAAAAAAGCCAUUAUCACCUUUGAGUUUGGAGUGACACCAAAAGUAAAUGUUACUGGAGCCUAGAAGCCAGGGCCAUCCAGCAAGAGCUAGAACCCUAGUAGCAGAGGUAGCCUAGUAAGAACAGAGACCCUAGAGGGUCUCUGUCCAAGGAAGACAGAUUUGAGGAAAUGCAGCUGCUGAAGCAGGGUCAGGAGAGCAGGAGACGUUCUCUGAUUCCCCCGCUCCCAUGCGCCUCUCUUUCACUAGUACCUCUGAUUGGCCAAUGCUACCUGGGCAUUUCUUGCCAUACAGAGUGGAGGAGAAGUGAGAUACGGAGCUGAGAACCAGAUAAAGGACGAAUGGUACAUUCACUGUGUGACCUUGGGCAACCCGCUUUUCUGAACAUCAUUUUCCUCACUUAUAAAAUGGGGACAUGGAGUUCCCAUCAUGGCACAGUGGUUAGCGACCUCGACUAGCAUUCAUGAGGAUGCGGGUUCGAUCCCUGGCCCCGCUCAGUGGGUUAAGGAUUUGUCAUUGCUGUGAGCUGUGGUGUAGGUCGAAGACACGGCUAGGAUCUGAUAUUGCUAUGGCAGUGGUGUAGGCUGGCAGCUGCGGCUCCAAUUCGACCCCUAGCCUGGGAAGCUCCAUGUGCCAUGGGUGCGGCCCUAAAAAGCAAAAAAAUAAAAUAAAAUAAAAUAGGGACAACAAAAGACUUAUUUUGAGGGUUAAGGAAUAUAAUUCUUAUGAAGCAUUUAGGACAGUAUAAAUUCUCUCUCUAUGGAGAUAUAAACAUAUACGAUAUGUUAAAAUACUGGUUAUAUGCAAAUAUACAGAUACUGAUUAUUACUAGUUAGGGACUUUAGCUUUAGCUCUUGUGUUAACAAUGACCAACCAAUCAGGAAGCUACGGUCAGUAGAACAGGAUCAAUAAACCAGGAAAAUCCAAAAGUUAGUUUGAACCAAGCUAUCUGUUAAGUGAAAUUUCUAAGAAGGUGAAAACAAAGCAGAGUGUCGUCUCAGCUUCUUUUCUACGUUCUCCUUUUCUCCUUCUUUCUCCAUUUGAGGCCCCCGUCUUUCUCUUCCAAGGCUCCAAGAUUGUGAACAUGUGUGCUUGUGGGUGAGCAUCAUGAUCUUUAAUUGUUGGAUCAAUGGAUCUCUCGUCUAUUCAUUUCCCCCAACUUCCAGCCUAAAAAGAGGGAAUGCAGAGGCUCACGGUGUAGAUAAUCUUCUUUAUGAAAUAACUCACCUCACUCAGGAAUAAAGGUCGUAGCAGAUGUCCUUUAGUGAUGAAAGACUAAUAGAGGCCACUCAGCCUCUGCCCCACGGGCAUGCACUGCUUGGCAAGGGGAAGGUCGAAUCAUUCUGCCAAGGUCACAUCCCUCCCUCCAAGGAGGAAACAGUGCAGCCAAGAUGGUCAAUGGAAUGGAUCUCAACUGCUCUAUGUCUCACUCUCUGGAACAACUGCACAGCUCAGACUAAAAGAGACCCAAGGCAGAAUGCUGCAGCAAAGCAGAGGCCCAGGGGCAGGCCUGCACUACUCACCACGUGAAUCAAGAUGAGGGCAUCUAAUCAGCUGGUAGCAACUGGAUGCAAAUGCAGUCAGUACAUUCAUUAUACAUUGGGGUAAUCAAGUACAGAAGGGCCAGAGUUAACACAUUCAAAAUUCACAGUUUUUAUCUGCUUGAAAGUGAUUCUCAAACAGGAAUCCUUCCAGGACUAACAUGCCAGGGAAACCAGAAUCUUGUUGAAACUGCUAGUGUUUCCUUGUUCCAGGCCUUCCUCCUUUAGAGUUGGACAUGAGCCCAUGUGGUGUGGGCACAGGAGAGACAAGGGAGGGCUGGCUGUUUCUGCCCCAAAAAGACAGACGGUCAGAGGAUACUCUGGGGAAGAGCCACACCCAAGAUGGCUGUUCACGUGAGUCUCUACAGCAAGGCCAAAAUAAUGAUAUGGCUGCAAUCAUUCUGAAAAUGUCAUUUAGCAACCCACUUUUUCAGUAACAAUAAGUUAUAAGUGUUUUCCCAUUUUAUCUCAAAUUCAUCAGCAUGACUAGGUAUUACACAAACCCCUGGCCUUUAUCGUGUCUCACCAUCCUUCUGUAAACAGCUCCCCCAUGUUGUUUGAAUAGUCUCAAAACCAUAAUGCUACAGCCUCAAAGUAUUCAGAUUACGAAAAUAAACAUAUUCAGUUGACAAUAAUCAUAUUUAUUGUGAGAACUAUUGUUAUACUUGAGCUUUCCUUGAAAACAAAGCAGCCAGUCAUAAUCAACAGAUGUUCCUUGAGCAUCAGCUCUAGGAGUAAAUGAGCAGAUAUUUAAUUCAUCCCACUUAAAUAUGAGUCAGUGUAAGCAAUCAGGGGUGAGGUCAUUUGAGGUUUAAAAAUUGGCAAAA